rnacentral:lncRNA from 1 species
CACAUUUAAGCUCCCAGUAGCAGGUCUUUAGCCUGAAAGGCAGCCAGUUUUACUGAGGUGAACUUCUGGAAUUUGUUCAGCUGCACAGACACUUACUCCUCUCCUUCCAUCUGCUUAUUCCUAGCAGAGCCCCACCAGUCACUUUUGAGUCGCUUCAGUGGUAUAAAUUCUCUCAAUUCCUGCUGCCCAGCUGCUCAGCAGUAUUCGAUAUAUACUUCAAACCUUACUCUCCUCUCUUCACAAAAGGAAAACAGAGGAAAGGAAAUUAAGAUUACUUGAGGAAGAACUAAGCACUUAAUAUGUAUCAUUACACUUAAUUCUCACAGAAGUUCUAUUUCACAGAGGGUAAAACGGAGCAUCAGUUAAGGUAAGUAGGCUUGUGUGGGUUUCCCAGCUGCUAAGUGGUGAAAUGGGUCUGAGGCUGGGUACAUCUCAUUCUAAACCCUGCACCAGUAAAUGCUGUUUUACUGAUUAUAAUCUGUAAAGCACUUGAUACAUGUAAAGUAUUAAAUUACUUACAUCUUCCAUUUAAUUGACUUCAUCAACCUCAGAAGCAUAGUAAAUUGUAAUG